rnacentral:rRNA from 1 species
UACGUAGGAGGCGAGCGUUGUCCGGAAUCACUGGGUGUAAAGCGCGUGUAGGCGGCCUGCCAAGUCUGCUGUGAAAGCGCCUGGCUUAACCGGGCGAGGUCGGUGGAAACUGGCGGGCUGGAGGACGGUAGAGGGGGGUGGAAUUCCCGGUGUAGUGGUGAAAUGCGUAGAGAUCGGGAGGAACACCAGUGGCGAAGGCGGCCCCCUGGGCCGUUCCUGACGCUGAGACGCGAAGGCGCGGGGAGCGAACGGG